UACAGAGGUCCCGAGCGUUGUUCGGAUUCAUUGGGCGUAAAGGGUGCGUAGGCGGCGGGGCAAGUCUGAUGUGAAAUCCCGGGGCUCAACCCCGGAACUGCAUUGGAUACUGCCUUGCUUGAGUACUGGAGAGGGAACUGGAAUUUACGGUGUAGCAGUGAGAUGCGUAGAGAUCGUAAGGAAGGCCAGUGGCGAAGGCGAGUUCCUGGACAGUUACUGACGCUGAGGCACGAAGGCCAGGGGAGCAAACGGG
rnacentral:rRNA from 1 species